UUGGAUCCCCAAAUCUAGGGUUCUUUUAAAUCAGGUAAAAUUCGGCAUGCAAAUCCUUUAUUUAAUCCUCAAAAUUCAAUCUUUUCACUUAGAUUUAUUUUUUUCACAGCUAUUAACUCCAUUUCUUUCCUUCCUUUUUUAGUUUUCUUUUCCUUUUUUAGGAAACGUGGGUUUUGAUUUAGUUCUCUAGUAUAGUGAUUGAAAUUAUUUACCUUUGGUGUUUGUUUA
rnacentral:misc_RNA from 1 species